CGGAUUGAAGGCUGAAAUUCGCCUUCAUGAAGCUGGAAUUGCUAGUAAUGGCAGGUCAGCAUACUGCCGUGAAUACGUUCCCGGGCCUUGUACACACCGCCCGUCACACCAUGAGAGUUGGGAAUACCCGAAGCCUGUGAGCUAACUUAUAGAGGCAGCAGUCGAAGGUAGAAUCAAUGAUUGGGGUGAAGUCGUAACAAGGUAGC
rnacentral:rRNA from 1 species